rnacentral:rRNA from 1 species
CCCUUAGAUGUUCUGGGCCGCACGCGUGCUACACUGAGUGGAUCAGCGGGUCAGGUUGCGCGAAAGCGUUUCCUAAUCUUUAAAUCCGCUCGUGAUGGGGAUUGACGGUUGCAAUUUUCUGUCAUGAACGAGGAAUACCUUGUAAGCGCGGGUCAUCAUCCCGCGCUGAAUACGUCCCUGCCCUUUGUACACACCGCCCGUCGCUCCUACCGAUUGAGUAGUCCGGUGAGGCUUUGGGAUCUGAGCGGAAAGAGCGUUUCGCUGUUUCUGCUCGGAAAACUCAGUCGAACCUUAUCAUUUAGAGGAAGGAGAAGUCGUAACA